GUACGCUCUGUUCAGAGCGCGGCGCUGCCAUUUGAAAUUAAUAAAUGAUGGUACCCUCCGAAUUGUUUCCUUUCUUAUUAAUGGGAUGUAUAGCUUAUUUUCGCAUUUUUAAAUACCUACACAUUUUCUAACAAAACCAAAUCAUCGUCCGAUGCUUCAACCUGCUUCCUUUGUGUGGAACGAACCAGCACUGACAAGCGCUUAUAAGUUUCUAGCUUUCUUACUGUAUAUGGCCUAUUAUACACUCAUAAUUA